rfam:Steinernema glaseri strain NC unplaced genomic scaffold GLAS_5878, whole genome shotgun sequence.
CCAACGGCCCUCUUUAGGGCCACAGAUAUCUAAGUAAAACACUUGAU